UAGGGAAUCUUCGGCAAUGGACGAAAGUCUGACCGAGCAACGCCGCGUGAGUGAAGAAGGUUUUCGGAUCGUAAAACUCUGUUGGGUAGAGAAGAACGUUGGUGAGAGUGGAAAGCUCAUCAAGUGACGGUAACUACCCAGAAAGGGACGGCUAACUACGUGCCAGCAGCCGCGGCAAUACGUAGGUCCCGAGCGUUGUCCGGAUUUAUUGGGCGUAAAGCGAGCGCAGGUGGUUUAUUAAGUCUGGUGUAAAAGGCAGUGGCUCAACCAUUGUAUGCAUUGGAAACUGGUAGACUUGAGUGCAGGAGAGGAGAGUGGAAUUCCAUGUGUAGCGGUGAAAUGCG
rnacentral:rRNA from 1 species